GCCAAGCGGUGGAGCAUGUGGUUCAAUUCGAAGCAACGCGAAGAACCUUACCAGCCUUUGACAUCCCGGUCGCGAGCACCAGAGAUGGAGCUCUUCAGUUCGGCUGGACCGGAGACAGGUGCUGCAUGGCUGUCGUCAGCUCGUGUCGUGAGAUGUUGGGUUAAGUCCCGCAACGAGCGCAACCCUCGCCCUUAGUUGCCAUCAUUUAGUUGGGCACUCUAAGGGGACUGCCGGUGAUAAGCCGGAGGAAGGUGGGGAUGACGUCAAGUCCUCAUGGCCCUUACAGGCUGGGCUACACACGUGCUACAAUGGCGGUGACAGAGGGAUGCAAAGGAGCAAUCCUUAGCAAAUCUCAAAAAGCCGUCUCAGUUCGGAUUGUGCUCUGCAACUCGAGCACAUGAAGUUGGAAUCGCUAGUAAUCGCAGAUCAGCACGCUGCGGUGAAUACGUUCCCGGGC
rnacentral:rRNA from 1 species